UCCCUGGUAGCUCAGAUGGUAAAGCGUCUGCCUACCAUGCAGGAGGCCCGGGUUCGAUCCCUGGGUGAGGAA